AGACCAGCAAUUUUAUCUGUAAAUAUGUAGCAUAAUAUCUAAUUUUCAAUAAACUCUGCAUUCAUAAUUCAAUUAAAAUGAUACUAGCAGACCCUAAAAGAUACUAGACCUUGGCUUCCACAUAUGAUAUACCACAUCAUAUAUCAUUAAGAAAAUGUUUAUUAAAGAUUCCGCUUAAAGGAUUAGUUAAACAAUCCAUAGUGGAUUCAAAUUAUCAGUAAACGAGAUUUAACUUUAUAACUAGAUUUUGACCCGCGCUUAAAAAGCGCGGAUUUGUUUCAAAAUUAAAUAAAUUUUCAUAUAAGAUACAAUAUAGAUUUGAGUAUAUUUAUCCAGAACGCUGAAUCAAACCAUACCAAAAUGGAAAAUACAAAAUCAAAACUAAACUGAAUUGCAUAAAUAACCGAACAUAUCAUAUAUCUUUGAAACAAAAAAAAAAUAAAACCGAACUGAAAACCAAAUGGAUAUCUGAAUUUUUAAAAUACAAAUUAUAUGAUUAAA
rnacentral:lncRNA from 1 species